UUUUUGGAGACAGGGAUUCCUUGUGUACCCUUAGCGAAAGACCCCCGGAGUGGGGAGACCCUCACUCAAGUCUCGGGAUGACGCGACCCCCCAAGAACUCACACAAGACC
rnacentral:pre_miRNA from 14 species